UGAACUCCUGUAAGACAAGCAGAGCAUUUAAAGCAUGGGCAACCACAAACAAUUUUAGAGGAAGUCAUGGAGGAUGAAUGGGUGAUCAACAGUCUGGACGGAGCCUUGUCAGAGAGUGGUGCGGAGCCGACCUCGUUGUACUCUGGGUUAAGGGUCUUCUUCUUCGUCUGUGUCUUGUUCUUGGCCUUCUUCCCCAUAUCUGGCUUCAGACAUCUGCAGCAAUACCACAAGACAACGAUUGACAAACUGUGUGCACCUGAGAUAGGAGGUAAGGCGCCUUGCUCAAGAGGCUUACAGAUAAAAUGGACAACACACGGCCGGAGGACAGUAAUAAACGCACACUUUAACGAAGGGGUCGGAGUAUCCAUUGGAGUCCAUGGCGGCAAGGUGGGCGCAGCGCACCACUCCCACCACCAGGCGGCCCUGCCGGCUGUCGUAGUGCAGAGACACCUGGACGCGGCCCCGCUCCUCGCUGCUCUCUCCGUCCUUGCCCUGCAAACAUAUGAAUACGUUGACAUAUAUUUAUGGAUCAUAUAUGUAUCAACAACCAACCAGAUAAUGUUAAAAAUGUAUAAGGAAAAUAAUGUAUAGAUCAUUAAAAUAUGUAUUUGUAUUUGUA